CAAGACUAUGUUUUUAUAUACACCAAAGUAUGUUUAAAGAAUGUCAUCAAUAGGAACUUGUUUCCUAUAUAAUUAUACAACUUUCAGCAACGGAUCUCUUGGCUCUCGCAUCGAUGAAGAACGCAGCGAAAUGCGAUAAGUAAUGUGAAUUGCAGAAUUCAGUGAAUCAUCGAAUCUUUGAACGCACCUUGCGCUCCUUGGUAUUCCGAGGAGCAUGCCUGUUUGAGUGUCAUUAAAUUCUCAACCUUCCAGCUUUUUAUAAGCUUGGUUAGGCUUGGAUGUGGGGGUUGUGGGCUUCAUUAAUGAGGUCAGCUCUCCUUAAAUGCAUUAGCGGAACUUUUGUGGACCGUCUAUUGGUGUGAUAAUUAUCUACGCCGUGGAUGUGAAGCAGAUUUAUGAAGUUCAGCUUCUAACCGUCCAUUGACUUGGACAUUUUUGACAAUUUGACCUCAAAUCAGGUAGGACUACCCGCUGAACUUAAGCAUAUCAAUAAGCGGAGGAAAAGAAACUAACAAGGAUUCCCCUAGUAACUGCGAGUGAAGCGGGAAAAGCUCAAAUUUAAAAUCUGGCAGUCU
rnacentral:rRNA from 1 species